rnacentral:sRNA from 1 species
AAAUUUAUUUUAUUAAUGUGGAUCUUAUUUAUGAUAUGUUUAUGAAUCAUUGUCUAAAUAUUUAAUCGAUGCAGGAUGGUGAACCCACACAUUUUUCGCCAAUUGGUUAAUAUAUGUUCAUUUUUAAAAUUUCGAAUCACAAAAUAUGACGGAAAUUUUUUUGAGAUUUUUUUAAACUCUAUAUAUUGUAUAAUGAUGU